ACUGAUGUGGAUGUUGAAUUACAGGUCUUAAAGACGAAUGAUCUUCUUGAUGUACAACAAGAACAACCUUAUGAUGAUGUCACCUUGAAGUUGGCCCCUUCGCUUUAAAAUGCUCAAAGUUGAUAUUAAGUUCCUUGUUCCUUGUGACAAGUCCUUGUGUACAUAGGUGGAUUUCUAGCCUAGGACGGAAAUGCGUUUGGGGCGUACAAGGCAAAAUUAUGACCAGCUUAAAGAGAUGGUCUUUGUCAAUGUUUUGCAUAGUACGAGAGGGAUAAAUUGCUGACAAGGGUAGAGCAUACUUUGUUUAAACUAACGAAGAAACAGUGCACCAGCAAUCAUUUGUCAGCAACAAGGGCCUCAAUUUUGUUUUCAAGGUGAGCUUCAUGAUCCUCAAGGCGACCUUUGGCUGCAUUCUCCCAACGGACCAACGCUGGCACCCCAGUGAGCUUGAACAUAAAUGUAAGAGUUAAAAGCUUACUAUCAAGUUAUACAACAUAAAUAAACUUAUGUUGUUCUGUUGAGAAAAUAGGUUAUGCACAGUUACACUGUCAUACUUGAUUCAAGCCCUACAAAUAAUGCUUUGUUCAAAAUCAAGCAUCCUUGUGAAUAGUUACAGUCCCCAGCUCCCAAAUUUUUUUUUUGAGAUGUAAACUUUAUGUUUUAUGACUGAUGUGGAAGUUGAAUGAUAGAUCUCAAAGACGUGGAUGUACAACCAAAAAAACCUUAUGGUGAUGUCAGCUUGUAGUCAACCUCCAUAAGGUUUUUUUUGGUUCAAUAGAGGAAAAGACACCUCACUGUACUAGUACAUCAAUUUGAUCCCAAAAAUUUUUCUUUAUUGA